rnacentral:rRNA from 1 species
GAUGAACGCUGGCGGCGUGCCUAAUACAUGCAAGUCGAGCGAACAGACGAGGAGCUUGCUCCUCUGACGUUAGCGGCGGACGGGUGAGUAACACGUGGACAACCUACCUAUAAGACUGGGAUAACUUCGGGAAACCGGAGCUAAUACCGGAUAAUAUAUUGAACGGCAUGGUUCAAUAGUGAAAGACGGUUUUGCUGUCACUUAUAGAUGGAUCCGCGCCGCAUUAGCUAGUUGGUAAGGUAACGGCUUACCAAGGCGACGAUGCGUAGCCGACCUGAGAGGGUGAUCGCCCACACUGGAACUGAGACGCGGUCCAGACUCCUACGGGAGGCAGCAGUAGGUAAUCUUCCGCAAUGGGCGAAAGCCUGACGGAGCAACGCCGCGUGAGUGAUGAAGGUCUUCGGAUCGUAAAACUCUGUUAUUAGGGAAGAACAAUUGUGUAAGUAACUAUGCACGUCUUGACGGUACCUAGUCAGAAAGCCACGGCUAACUACGUG